rnacentral:tRNA from 1 species
GGAUAGUCUAGUGGUUAUGACGUCUGCCUUACACGCAGAAGGUCGCGGGUUCGACCCCCGCUCCU